CGCUGGCGGCGUGCUUAACACAUGCAAGUCGAACGAUGAAGCCCUUCGGGGUGGAUUAGUGGCGAACGGGUGAGUAACACGUGGGCAAUCUGCCCUUCACUCUGGGACAAGCCCUGGAAACGGGGUCUAAUACCGGAUAAUACUCCUGCCUGCAUGGGCGGGGGUUGAAAGCUCCGGCGGUGAAGGAUGAGCCCGCGGCCUAUCAGCUUGUUGGUGGGGUAAUGGCCCACCAAGGCGACGACGGGUAGCCGGCCUGAGAGGGCGACCGGCCACACUGGGACUGAGACACGGCCCAGACUCCUACGGGAGGCAGCAGUGGGGAAUAUUGCACAAUGGGCGAAAGCCCGAUGCAGCGACGCCGCGUGAGGGAUGACGGCCUUCGGGUUGUAAACCUCUUUCAGCAGGGAAGAAGCGAAAGUGACGGUACCUGCAGAAGAAGCGCCGGCU
rnacentral:rRNA from 1 species